rnacentral:lncRNA from 1 species
UGUAAAAAACCACGACCUACACCUCUAUAGGAUUUAACCCCAACUUCACUAAAAAACUCUGAGCCUCAACAACAACUGAUUACAAAACUCUUGUAACCAACAAAUAGGAAUUAUAAACUCUAAUUCCUAUAACUCAACAACUAGGAAUUAUAAACUCUAAUCCCUAUAACUCAAUAACUAGGAAUCAUAAACUCUAAUUCCUAACUACACACACCUCCCAAGGUAUGUGUUCCCAAA